rnacentral:rRNA from 1 species
AUUGAACGCUGGCGGCAGGCCUAACACAUGCAAGUCGAACGAGUGGCGGACGGGUGAGUAAUGUCUGGGAAACUGCCUGAUGGCGGGGGAUAACUACUGGAAACGGUAGCUAAUACCGCAUACCAUCAGAUGUGCCCAGAUGGGAUUAGCUUGUUGGUGGGGUAACGGCUCACCAAGGCGACGAUCCCUAGCUGGGCUGAGAGGAUGACCAGCCACACUGGAACUGAGACACGGUCCAGAUUCCGACGGGAGGCAGCAGUGGGGAAGAUGGAACAAUGGGCGCAAGCCUGAUGCAGCAAUGCCGCGGGUAUGAAGAAGGCCUUCGGGUUGUAAAGUACUUUCAGCGGGGAGGCGUUACACGCAGAAGAAGCACCGGCUAACUCCGUGCCAGCAGCCGCGGUAAUUC